CCCCAUCUGCCCAUCUGCACCUCCUGUUUCUCCUGAUUCAUCACCUCCAAGGGAAGACAGGGGAAAGGCAUAAGCUGACUGAUGUGGUGAGGACUGUUCUGAAGAUCAGUCAAGUCCUCCUUGGAUACGGGGAGUCACAGGACAAACGCUUGCUGAUUGGCACAAGAACACGAGGGCAAAGCGUGAGGAGAAGGGUGAACACUCGGGAGGACUACUCAGUCAGGCUUCAGAGUCCUGAGCUGGUUGAUUUCCUCGUGGCGUGGCCAUGGGGUGGGUACUGUCUCUCCCUGUCAGGACACUGGUUUCCCACCCUCCUCUCUGUAACACGCCUCCAUGCUGUCUGUGACACACUGGCUCUGUGGCCUCAUGGCCUGGCCCUGGCCCCAGCAGCAGACCCCGCCGUUACCUCACCGCACCCCGGGGCCUGGGGCUCCGUUUUCUGCUCUUGCUGCCAGUCUGCCUGAGAUGUACUGGCCCCAGCUUCAGAGGACGUGGUCUCUGACACCUGGCUCCAGGCCCUGGGCUCCUGGUAGGGCUCGUGGCCACCAGACACAACUUGGGAUUCCUGCUGAAAAGACCCCAUGAGCAGAGCCCAAACACCCGGGGCAGAGGGUCUCCAGGGCCCUGGCUAUGUGGGCUGCAGCCCCUGCCCACUGCUUCCUGGC
rnacentral:lncRNA from 1 species